rnacentral:rRNA from 1 species
GAUGAACGCUGGCGGCGUGCCUAAUACAUGCAAGUCGAGCGAACAGACGAGGAGCUUGCUCCGCUGACGUUAGCGGCGGACGGGUGAGUAACACGUGUAUAACCUACCUAUAAGACUGGGAUAACUUCGGGAAACCGGAGCUAAUACCGGAUAAUAUAUUGAACCGCAUGGUUCAAUAGUGAAAGACGGUGUUUGUGGCACUUAUAGAUGGAUCCGCGCCGCAUGAGCUAGUUGGUGAGGUAAAGGCUUACCAAGGGGAGGAGGCGUAGACGACGGGAGAGGGUGGUCGGCCAGACUGGAAGUGAGACAGGCUCCAGAGUCCUGAGGGAGGCACCAGGAGGGAAUCGUCCGGCAUGGGCGAAAACCAUACGGAAAAGCGCGGAGUGAGGGAGGAGGGUCUUCGGAUCGUAAAACUCGGUUAUUAGGGAAGAACAAAUGUGUAAGUAACUCUGCACGUCUUGACCGUAAAUGAGCAGAAAGGCACGGCUAACUAAGUG